GAUGAAGAACGCAGCGAAAUGCGAUACGUAAUGUGAAUUGCAGAAUUCAGUGAAUCAUCGAAUCUUUGAACGCACAUUGCACUCUCUGGUAUUCCGGAGAGUAUGCUUGUUUGAGUAUCUGUAAACAUCUCAAAUCUCUCUUCAAUUGCUUCAAUUGGGUCGAGAGAAUUGGAUUUGAGCGAUCCCGACUCCUUCGUCAGAAAGAGGAGGGUCGCUUGAAAUGCAGGUGCAGCUGGACAUUCUUCUGAGCAAAAAGCAUAUCUAUUUAGUCCCGUCAAACGGAUUAUUACUUUUGCUUCAGCUAAUAUAAAGGUUGAAUGAACUACCAACGCUGAUUGCAGGAAAACUUGUUCGUUUAUUCGGACUUGUAAACUCGAUCUCAAAUCAAGUAAGACUACCCGCUGAACUUAAGCAUAUCAAUAAGCGGAGGA
rnacentral:misc_RNA from 1 species